rnacentral:misc_RNA from 1 species
UCCGGCUUGACGCCGGCAGUCCCCCGAGAGUCCUCUGCAUGACCUGUUAGUAACACGGGGCAAGGGUUGCGCUCGUUGCGGGACUUAACCCAACGUCUCACGACACGAGCUGACGACAGCCAUGCAGCACCUGUGUCCAGGCUCCCUUUCGGGCACCCCUCCGUCUCUGGAGGGUUCCUGGCAUGUCAAGGGUAGGUAAGGUUUUGCGCGUUGCAUCGAAUUAAACCACAUCAUCCACCGCUUGUGCGGGCCCCCGUCAAUUCCUUUGAGUUUUAGCCUUGCGGCCGUACUCCCCAGGCGGGGCACUUAAUGCGUUAGCUGCGGCACAGAGAGGGUUGAAGACCUCCCCACACCUAGCACUCAACGUUUACGGCUGGGACUAC